UUUCCGUAGGUGAACCUGCGGAAGGAUCAUUACCGAGUGCGGGCCCCUCGGGGCCCAACCUCCCACCCGUGUUGCCCGAACCUAUGUUGCCUCGGCGGGCCCCGCGCCCGCCGACGGCCCCCCUGAACGCUGUCUGAAGUUGCAGUCUGAGACCUAUAACGAAAUUAGUUAAAACUUUCAACAACGGAUCUCUUGGUUCCGGCAUCGAUGAAGAACGCAGC
rnacentral:misc_RNA from 1 species